GUCUAUGGCCUUACCACCCUGAACAUGCUUGGUCUCCUCUGAUCUCAGAAGCUAAGCAGGGCUGGGCCUGGCUAGUACUUGGAUGGGAAAUAUAAACU
rnacentral:rRNA from 1 species